CAAAAUCCAUGUUUAGCUAUAAAUGGCCCUGUGAUAUGUCAAAAAUUAAACUAGGUCAAAAUGAAAUAAAAUUGGUGUUAUGUGUUACUCUAGACCUGAUACUAUUUUGACAUGCCAGAAUUUCCCCGCCAAAACGUCUGCUUGCAAAAAUAUGUAAAUGACAAAACCGGUUCCGGAUCGGUUUUGGGGUAAAAUCACAGCAUUUUCGUUCUUUGAGGGUGUGCUGUUGAUGAAAAUUAAAAUGUAAACAAGAAGAGGAGCAAUCCGGAUUUACUUAUUUUUUGACAGUAUUGCACGUUUUUUCACACCUUUUUGUUUUAAAAAUAUAAAAACCACAAGAAUCAAACACAUUGUGUAAUUGUCAUCUAA